GCAGUGAUGGUUCAGUGGUAGAAUUCUUGCCUUCCGUGCAGGAGACGCAGGUUCAAUUCCUGGCCAGUGCA
rfam:Loxodonta africana unplaced genomic scaffold scaffold_23, whole genome shotgun sequence.